rnacentral:rRNA from 1 species
UACGGAGGGUGCAAGCGUUAUCCGGAUUUAUUGGGUUUAAAGGGUCCGCAGGCGGACUAUUACGUCAGUGGUGAAAGCCCACAGCUCAACUGUGGAAUUGCCAUUGAUACUGGUAGUCUUGAGUGCGUAUGAAGUUGGCGGAAUGUGUGGUGUAGCGGUGAAAUGCUUAGAUAUCACACAGAACACCGAUUGCGAAGGCAGCUGACUAAUACGUAACUGACGCUCAGGGACGAAAGUGUGGGGAUCAAACAGG